CACAGGAUGGCCGAGCAGUGAUAGUUGUACAUUUCCAUCACUCGUUGUGUUGAUUUCAUCAUGUCCAUUAGGUGAUGUUUUUACACUAUAGAAUCAUAUUGCAAGUGCGCGCGCAUUUGCAAUAUGUUUCAAUGUGCAUUUACCAUAUGAAAUUUGACAUGCUCAAAAAUGCAAAAUUGACUGGUCUGAUGGACACAGGAUGGCCGAGCAGUGAUAGUUGUACAUUUCCAUCACUCGUUGUGUUGAUUUCAUCAUGUCCAUUAGGUGAUGUUUUUACACUAUAGAAUCAUAUUGCAAGUGCGCGCGCAUUUGCAAUAUGUUUCAAUGUGCAUUUACCAUAUGAAAUUUGACAUGCUCAAAAAUGCAAAAUUGACUGGUCUGAUGGACACAGGAUGGCCGAGCAGUGAUAGUUGUACAUUUCCAUCACUCGUUGUGUUGAUUUCAUCAUGUCCAUUAGGUGAUGUUUUUACACUAUAGAAUCAUAUUGCAAGUGCGCGCGCAUUUGCAAUAUGUUUCAAUGUGCAUUUACCAUAUGAAAUUUGACAUGCUCAAAAAUGCAAAAUUGACUGGUCUGAUGGACACAGGAUGGCCGAGCAGUGAUAGUUGUACAUUUCCAUCACUCGUUGUGUUGAUUUCAUCAUGUCCAUUAGGUGAUGUUUUUUCACUAUAGAAUCAUAUUGCAAAUGCACGUGCAUUGUUGUGCAACUGGUAACCCAAAAAUAAAAAUAUGGUUGUAAAUGCAUUUACCGGUCAUUCUGAUAUUAAUGCUCGCUAUGGGAACACAGGAUGGCCGGGCAGUGAUAGUUGUACAUUUCCAUCACUCGUUGUGUUGAUUUCAUCAUGUCCAUUAGGUGAUGUUUUUACACUAUAGAAUCAUAUUGCAAGUGCGCGCGCAUUUGCAAUAUGUUUCAAUGUGCAUUUACCAUAUGAAAUUUGACAUGCUCAAAAAUGCAAAAUUGACUGGUCUGAUGGACACAGGAUGGCCGAGCAGUGAUAGUUGUACAUUUCCAUCACUCGUUGUGUUGAUUUCAUCAUGUCCA